rnacentral:rRNA from 1 species
GCGGCCAAGCAUGCGGCGGCCACCGGCGAGGAGCGCCCGCUGAAGCGAUGCCGUCAUGCUUCGACGGAGAAGCGCGCGCUGAAGCCGUGCGCCGCCAAAAGGAAGGCGGCGGCGGCAGACGACGAGAAGCUGCGCACCGCCAAAAGGAAGGCGCCGGCGAUUGCUUCUUGUUCCACGGCGAACGAGGCUGGCUAUGUGAAGUAUGCUCCAGGGAAGAAAAUGACGCGGCUGCCGCAGGAGGACGUCGCUCGGAUCCUCGCCCGUGUGAUCGAUGAUGCCGAGGAUGCCCCUUCCGACUUCAAGGCCCUCAAGCUCCAAAACCCUGAACUGCUCCCUUCGCCGGAAGAGGAGCUGGACGAGGAGAUGGUGGAAUAUUAUGCCGGCGUGCGUGCCUACUAUAAAAUCGGAGAGGACUUCCUCAAAUUCCAGGCAUGGGUACGCAGUGAGUACACCAAGAACGGCUACGUCGAGGUCGAUGACGACUUCCUCGCUAAGAGGGCCAGAGUCCGAGCAGACAGCGACAGAGCACGGGAGGAUAUGCUC